CCUACGGGGGACAGCAGUGAGGAAUAUUGGACAAUGGGGGGAACCCUGAUCCAGCGACGCCGCGUGAGUGAAGAAGUAUUUCGGUAUGUAAAGCUCUAUCAGCAGGGAAGAAAGAAAUGACGGUACCUGACUAAGAAGCCCCGGCUAACUACGGGCCAGCAGCCGCGGUAAUACGUAGGGGGCACGCCUUAUCCGGAUGUACUGGGGGUAAAGGGAGCGUAGACGGCGAUGCAAGUCUGAAGUGAAAGGCGGGGGGCCAACACCCGGACUGCUUUGGAAACUGUAUGGCUGGAGUGCAGGAGAGGUAAGUGGAAGUCCUAGUGUAGCGGUGAAAUGCGUAGAUAUUAGGAGGAACACCAGUGGCGAAGGCGGCUUACUGGACUGUCACUGACGUUGAGGCUCGAAAGCGUGGGGAGCAAACAGGAUUAGAUACCCGGGUAGUC
rnacentral:rRNA from 1 species